AUUGAACGCUGGCGGCAUGCCUUACACAUGCAAGUCGAACGGCAGCGGGGGAGAAGCUUGCUUUUCCUGCCGGCGAGUGGCGAACGGGUGGGUAAUACAUCGGAACGUGCCCUGUAGUGGGGGAUAACUAGUCGAAAGAUUAGCUAAUACCGCAUACGACCUGAGGGUGAAAGUGGGGGACCGCAAGGCCUCAUGCUAUAGGAGCGGCCGAUGUCUGAUUAGCUAGUUGGUGGGGUAAAGGCCUACCAAGGCGACGAUCAGUAGCUGGUCUGAGAGGACGAGCAGCCACACAGGGACUGAGACACGGCCCAGACUCCUACGGGAGGCAGCAGUGGGGAAUUUUGGACAAUGGGCGAAAGCCUGAUCCAGCAAUGCCGCGUGUGUGAAGAAGGCCUUCGGGUUGUAAAGCACUUUUGUCCGGAAAGAAAUGGCUCUGGUUAAUACCUGGGGUCGAUGACGGUACCGGAAGAAUAAGGACCGGCUAACUACGUGCCAGCCGCCGCGGUAA
rnacentral:rRNA from 1 species